rfam:Myotis davidii contig107684, whole genome shotgun sequence.
AGGCCUGGAGAAAGAGGCAUGGUCUGAUCCACAGCCUCCCUGGCAGCUGUUGAUCAGCCAUUGCCUCUCUUUCUCUCAG